rnacentral:rRNA from 1 species
UACAGAGGGUGCAAGCGUUGUUCGGAAUUAUUGGGCGUAAAGGGCGCGUAGGCGGUUCGGCAAGUCUCUAGUGAAAUCUCAGGGCUCAACUCUGAGUCUGCUGGGGAAACUGCCGGGCUUGAGUGUGGGAGAGGAGAGUGGAAUUCCCGGUGUAGCGGUGAAAUGCGCAGAUAUCAGGAAGAACACCCGUGGCGAAGGCGGCUCUCUGGGACGGUACUGACGCUGAGACGCGAAAGCGUGGGGAGCGAACAGG